rnacentral:rRNA from 1 species
GGUUGACCUCGGAUCAGGUAGGGAUACCCGCUGAACUUAAGCAUAUCAAUAAGCGGAGGAAAAGAAACCAACCGGGAUUGCCUCAGUAACGGCGAGUGAAGCGGCAACAGCUCAAAUUUGAAAUCUGGCCCCUGCGGGGUCCGAGUUGUAAUUUGUAGAGGGCGUUUCGGGCGCGGGGCCGGUCUAAGUCCCUUGGAACAGGGCGUCAAAGAGGGUGAGAAUCCCGUCUGCGACUCGGCCGCCAAGCCCAGGUGAAACCCCUUCGACGAGUCGAGUUGUUUGGGAAUGCAGCUCAAAAUGGGUGGUAAAUUUCAUCUAAAGCUAAAUACCGGCCGGAGACCGAUAGCGCACAAGUAGAGUGAUCGAAAGAUGAAAAGCACUUUGGAAAGAGAGUUAAACAGUACGUGAAAUUGUUGAAAGGGAAGCGCUUGCGACCAGACCUGUCCCCGGGCGACCACCCGUCAUUCGUGGCGGGGCACGCGCCCGGACGCAGGCCAGCAUCGGUUCGGGCGGCGGGACAAAGGGCCCGGGAAUGUAGCUCCCUCCGGGGAGCCUUAUAGCCCGGGUCGCCAUGCCGCCCGCCUGGACCGAGGACCGCGCUUCGGCUAGGAUGCUGGCGUAAUGGUCGCAAGCGACCC